UUUGGUAUGUAUUAAUUCUCAAAUCCUUUGACAUGCCUAGACUUGCUUGUGUAUAUAUGUGAAUGAAGGACAAGGAAAGAUCAACCUUUCACAAGACUAAAAUUGUUUAAUUCAAAUUUCAAAAAUUUUAAAAUGAUGAACAUUUCUUUCAAGCUUUCACUCUUGAUUUUCAUUUUGGUUAUCAUAUCUGAUACUGGAUUAGACGCAAGGGAACUAACAAGAGCUGACAAGAAAUUCGAAGUUGUCACCGGAAGUUCAAACUACAUCGGCACCACCAGGACCUUCAUGCAAGCCCCACCUUGCAAAAGAGAUGUUGAUUGUAACCUAAGAUGUCCCAAGGGAGCUGGAAUCUGCAAUAAUGGCAAAUGUGAUUGUCUCUAAUUUUUGAAACUUUCUUUGUAAACUUUUAUCCUCCUGUUUCGGCAACCAACUUCGGAGUCAUUUUCUA